CUUCUGUUCAUGAAUCGUAUUUUGCUAUUCCUAUUACUCUUCUUGUCUCAUGUUCAUAAAUCACCUGAAUCAACAAAGAGCCCAAUCGUCUUUGGUCUGCCGCAUGCACCUGGCGGGUGAACUACAAUUCUUCUCUAAGCUUGGGUUUCUCUCUUCUCGGCAACCUGUUUCAAACAAUCGGUAGGGUGUUCAUAUGUACCAUUCUCUCUGCUUCAAUUCUCUCUACUCUAAGCUUCGGUUUCUCUCUUCUCGGCAACCUGUUUCAAGCAAUCGGUUGGGUUUUCAUAGAUGUCAGAUUUGCAAGACUGAACCCUUAAGCCGCUCGCAGGAUUUUGCAUUGUCGCCGAUUUGGUGCAUGCUGGGAUUAUGCUGUGCACAUGAAUGACUGGGUGGAGGAAUUGGUCAUCAGGUUAGCGAAAGGGCUUCUGGGGAGUGGGGACAGUUCCACGGAUUGGACAAAUGCAAAUGACAAGUAAGUUCCAAGCCUUUUGCCUUUAUCUUGACGUUCAAAAUCAAAACUCUCUGUGUUUUCAUUAGUCCAUCUUCAACAGUUCAGAAGAGUAUAUUCAAUACCAGGAAAGGGAUUGCUAAGUGCUGAUGAUUACUCAUGCUUCCGCAAUUUACUUGGUAUUAUAUGUUUAUCCUUUGCAAAGCCUCUAAAACAGUUGUCCAUGGAAAGCACAAAUCAUUUCUAAUUUAAUGGUGGAAGGGGUCUGUUGUAUAUAUUGAGGAGUUGAGCAAUUGCUAUUAUGGGCUCACACUGAUUGUUGCGGUUCUUAAAUCUAGCUUGAUUUAUCAACCUUACUGUUCCAUAGGGUACUCCCGACCUUCUCUUUAUUAUUUUUUUGUGUCCAAGUUGUUUGCUAUAUUGGCAUAACCCAUAUAGAUAGUAACAUUAUUGCUGGAUUGUGGGAAUAUUGUUUUUUAAUGAGUUCUCUCCUCUACCAUGUAAUUCUUUAUGGUUUGUAGGUUAAUUGUAUUUUGACUUGGUUUGAUUUAUCUGUGUAGCCCAGGUGCCUUCAUGGCCUCCUACCAGAUUCUGCCUCAAAUGAAUAUGUUUUUUUUUUCUGGAUAUUAGAUACUUAAAUCUUGCAAAGAACAUAUCCUGAGUUGUCAGGAUAUGUUCUUGGUGGUAUAGUUGCACAAUUGGUUUUUACAUAUUUUAUUCAUCAUUUGUCUAUAUUAUAUUAUUACAUAAGCCCUCACUUUCUCUUUUUGAUUCUUUCACCACUAAUAUUGUAACUCCUGAACUCCAGGUUUUCAAUAUGUAAUUUUCUACUAUAUAGUUGGCAUGGUCAUGUUCAGACUGGUUUGAGUUUCUUACUCUUUUCAUUGUUUUGAUUAUUUUUUUAGGACAUUAUGGUUUUGAAGGAUUCUAAUUUUUCAAGUGUUGUCACUGCCAUGGCAAGAAUGAAUGUACAGGUAAAGACUAUUAUAUCCGCA